ensembl:snRNA U6 U6 spliceosomal RNA
GUACUCGCUUUGGCAGCACAUAUACUAACAUUGGAAUGAUCAAAAGAAAAUUAGCAUGGCUCCCGUGCAAAGGUGACAUGCAAGUUUGUGAAGUGUUCCAUAUUUUU